UGAUGCGGAACAUCCGGAAUCGCUGUAGGGCUGUGAUGAAAGCUCAAACCCUGUCUGACUGAUGACCGCUGGAGCCGCCUU
rnacentral:snoRNA from 1 species